GAGUUGGGGGAGAGGACCAGAACCACCUGCUGGAGAAGGGGAGCUACGGGGGCCGGGCAGGGUCCAAACGCCUCACGUAGGCGGCGGCGCCACGGUCUUCGGGGUCACAGGGAAGAGAAGGGCUCUCCUCAAGCGGGUGGAAGGAGGGAGGCCUCCCGAGGGAGUGAGACUCUAGGCCACUCCCCCGCAGCAAGGCAGGAUCACCUGCGACGCGGAGAGCGGUUAGAGGGCCCUGGAGUGGAAAAGGGCAGUGGGACCUGGUAGCUUGGGUUCCCUGCAACUUGGGGUUCGACCUCCAGGCAAUGAAGUAGGGAUGGUCCUGCAAGUCAAGAUUCCAGUAGCAAGAGUGCAUCAGAUCUCUGUAAGGAAAAUAACUAACAUUGCUCAGUUCCCUGUAGAGUUGCAGGGCGCUUUAACGUUAUCUCCCUUGGUUCUCCAUCAGGUCGUAGUGGACUAAUUUUACAGGCGAAGUUAAGUGACUUACCCAAAACCUCACAGCUAAUAAACGGCAGAGCCGGCACCCAGCUGUACUGGCUUCCAAUUCUGUUAGCUUACCAGCGCAUCACAUUAUCUCCAUAAAUCCCCAUGAUUCAACUAAUAUUAGACGCCCCACAGGGCUGGAAGGAGUGUUGCUCAACAAUAUCCAAAACCACAGAGGUUGAAAAGCACAAGGAAAGAAGGUAUGUUUGCACUUUGUGAUUAGGUAGUAGGGUCUUUGAGACCACAUUGUUCUUAUUGAAAGCCUGGGAAGAAAGAUCCCCUUUCUGGUCAAGUUUAGUCUAGGGAUCCAUCCCAUCUUCCCCAGUUCCCACGUGUAUGGGACAUGUCGAGAUAAGUAGAUAGAUUGGACAGUGGGAGAAAGUAGUUCUCUUCCAGUUGCUUCUAUUUUCUCAGCAAAGUGAGGAGCAAGAUCAUUUUGGCAGACUGCUAAUUGUCCAUCACAAUUUAGUCUCCCUUUCUCCCUGAAAACACAGACUGCUUUUCUCAGCCUCUCUUUCAGUUGCAUAUGGUCAAGUAUUAAGUUAUAGAACGUGAGCAGAUGUUAUGUCUGCCACUGUCAGGCCAAGGCGUUUACUUUGAGAGUACUUGUGCCUCUUUCAUGCAUUUUCCUUUCUGCCAGCUGGACCCUGGACACGGUGACUCUGAUUCAAUUAUGCAGAUGACCACAAACCUCUGGGGUUGGCAGAGCCACAAGAAAGAAGGUGCCUGGAUGAAGGAGAGCUACCCACUGACCUGGACACCCAAUUAUAGGAUAGACAGUGAAGUGCAACUACAGCCCGCAAAUGAAAAUGAAUAAUAUUAAUCCAGCCCCUCAAGGCAGGCGAGUAGCUGCUGUCAUCUGUCUUAGAGCUAUUGGAAUCCUGGAUCAUUGUGGGAAAUGAAAGGAACUGGUUUUUAGCAAGGAGACCAAGAAACUCUACUCCCUAGGGGCUAGCAAUGAGAGAAAGGAAGCCUUAAGUCUUUGAGCACAGGGUGACAGUUUGGGUCCUAUGUGAGAUGAUCAAAUCCACAGCAACAGAGGAAAGGACAAAAGGAAAAGAUACUUCGAUGGAAUCAGCAGCCAUUGAUCCAAUGCCAACUCCAAGACUGGAACGUCGCAAUGAUAGUUCCAAGGCGGAAAUUUGACGUAAUUCUUUUCGACACAGUUUUACAGGCAUCUUGCAUGUGAAUAACUCACAACUUUAAUUCAUGGAACAAAUUGAGAAAUAGUCUUUUGGGGGUUUGGUACUCCCUGGAAACAUAAGAGUGCUUUGGGCACCUCUGGUGCCUUUCCAUGCCUGCCUUCUCUGCUGUUCUUGCUACUAGUGAAUUCUAAAUCAUGGCCAAGUGAUGCCAGCACUGGAUAAUAUUGGCUCUGCCCCAUAUCUCGAGGGAAAACUCUAGGACUUGGCAUUAUAUGUGUGGGAAUCUGGCCUUGGUUGGCACUCCCAGCAUGAUAGCGGGGUUCUCCUGUCUGAAUGUACUCUGGGGUGUGCGCCACAAUUUCUGUCAUCGAAAUGGAGAUGAGAGAAUAUGCCCUUGGUGGGGACACCCCACUGGAAUUAGAGUGAAGAGAUCAAAGCUAGAGGUUCUUAAAUCAAAGAAUAUCUAAUAGCAAAGACAAAAACUUGCUUAAGGGAAAUGCAUACAAGUACUAGACCUAAUAUGAUGAAAAAUGCCAACUUCAAUAUAUUGAUGCAUGCUUAGUACACUUUCAGUCCUGCAAAGACAAAGUUUUUUGUUGUUUUUUUUUUGAGACGGAGUCUCGCUCUGUCGCCCAGGUUGGAGUGC
rnacentral:lncRNA from 1 species